AGACUGGUUGUGUUUCAUCUGCUCCCUAAUUCCCUAUGACGUGAUUCAGGACAUCGUGAACAAAUGGAACAGAGAUGAAAGAUCACAUAAAGAAACAACUUUAAAUACUUAAGAAGAAAUAGUGACAUUUCUAACAACCGCGUUUGCACCAGUUGCUUUUCUUAGCGACUGCUUUUAGACCGGACUCAUUGAUCGUCCUGAAUCCACGUCAGU
ensembl:lncRNA